rnacentral:rRNA from 1 species
GUUCCCAUCCCGAACACGGCAGUUAAGCUCUUUUGCGCUGAUGGUAGUUGGGGGUCUCCCCCUGUGAGAGUAGGACGUCGCUGGGC